ACAUAAUGGUAAAUUCACUGCUGGGCCAUGAGCUGAACCAUGAUAAGCACCACGUAAAAUCCAACUGCCAAGACCAACUGAUUUAAAUAUUUAUUAUGAUCCUGUUACAAUAAUAAUAGUUGCAUAACAAAGCAGAUGAAAUGUGAAUAGUACAAUGAAAGAAUGUUGAUAAUAAUAAAAAGGAUUCAAACCAUUUUUGUGAAAAUUAAAUUAGAUCUGGCUACUAGCAAGUUCAGCCAGUACAACAUUUUUUUCUGGUUCUUCUUUGGGACAAUUUCAUGCACUGUCUCCUUUAAAAUAUUGUACAUGUGCACUUUAAGAUGAAAUACUAUACAUACUGCAAUCCUAUUUGAACAUGCUUAAAGAAUUAUGAUUAAAUAAAGCAAGCAUAUCUUACUCUGUAUAAUAUUGUAUUAUGUUUAUUAAAUGUAUUAUCUAAUAGAAUCAUUCCCUUAUAAACUAA